AUGGCUCUGAUGUGUCGGGUUAAUGAAUUUAUAUGGUCUAAUAUGUAGAUGAAAAUAAAAAUAAAUAUACAUUUAAAAAUAAAUAUAAAAUUAUAGUGGUAAACAGAAAUAUAGAAAUCAAAUAGAUAAAUACAUAAAACUAUAAUAUAUUGUAUAUUAUUGUAACAUAACAUAUAAAUUAUAGUCUAUUAUAUAUGUAAACAAAGAUAUAUAACUAUAGAAUGUAAAUAUAAAAACAGUAAAAUAAAUUGGAGAAUUUUUUUUGUUUUUUUAGGUUAUAGGCUGGGUUUUAUAAUAAAUGUGGUGGUGGGCUUUGCUGCAGCUGGAAUUUGUAUCUAUUUCAGGAAGCGUCAUACAGUAUAUCCUGCAAUUUAAUAGAUCCCCUGCUAUGUUAGUUGUAGUGGAAGAAGCUGAAUGAAACCAGGACACUGAACUUUGGUGCACCAAACCCCUGCCAAUAACAGGUUUUCAAAUAACAAACCCACAGUUUACAACAAUGUUAAAAGCCCAGCCUACAAAAAUACCAAACUCCCAGCCAAAAAAAAAUACUAAAAACUUGGCCUACAAAAAUAUCGAACAAACCAGCCUAUAAAAAACUGCAUUUCAAAAUACCAGAACAACCUAGUUUCAAAAUAAUAGGAAACCCAAUUUCAAGGUACACAGGAGGUGAGGGCUGCGGGGCAGAGGGACCGGUUGAGGGGUAAAGGGAGAGGCCUUGAGGGCUGGACAGUCCAGUGGAGAUCAGGGGUACAGGAUACAGCUGUACCACCCCCUCACCCCAGCCCUAACCUCAGCCUAACCAGCUCCCCUAAAAACAGCCUUUUCCCCCAACAGCAGCACAACACAGCAACCCUAACAGCGAGACCAGAGAGCAACCCUCACACACCAGGACAAUGACAGAACCCUCAGAGAACAACAGACCCACUGCGGCUAGAGAGCAACAGCAGGUGUUUCUGGGCAUCUAAAGCAUAGAGGCUUUGAAGAUUCUGUGAAGUAAACAGCAUGGAAUACAGGGAGUAUUUAGACUCAUGAUUUUGGCUUUUGUGUUUAGGGGUGGUAAAGUGCAUUUGUAAUUUCUGGUUUUGUUCUUGUUUUGUUUUGUAUUUUUUUUAGGAGGAGCGCAGCAUCCAGAGAUUCCUGGUUGUGUCAAGUACAACACUUUUUUCAGCAGAUUCAUCAUGUCACAAGAGGGAUCCGCCCAGUGUCAAGGAUGAUGUCUGAGAUUGAGGCAUCAGGAACCCCACCCUCUCCUAAUCAGGACCCCCAGCCGACACCAAUCAAGCCUAAUCAGCACCCCCAGCUGACACCAAUCAAGCCUAAUCAGUACCCCCAGCUGACACACCCCCAGCUGACACCAAUCAAGCCUAAUCAG